rnacentral:ribozyme from 16 species
AUGAAGAAAGAGACAUAGUACAUCAGAGACAAAAUGAUGGGGUGAAAAGUAGAUGGGGCUGAUGGGCCCAUUUUUGCACCCCCAACCAUUUAUUUUUUUAUUGUAUUUUUUUUUAUUGCCAGACUCCU